GAGAGGUGCUGCAUGGCUGUCGUCAGCUCGUGUUGUGAAAUGUUGGGUUUAGUCUCGCAACGAGCGCAACCCCUAUCGUCUGUUGCCAGCAUUAAGUUGGGCUCUCUGACGAGACUGCCUGGGUUAACCAGGAGGAAGGUGGGGAUGACGUCAAGUCCUCAUGGCCCUUAUGUCUAGGGCUACACACGUAAUACAAUGGCGCGUACAGAGGGAAGCGAACUCGCAAGGGGGAGCAAAUCUCAAAAAGCGCGCCUCAGUUCGGAUUGGAGUCUGCAACUCGACUCCAUGAAGUUGGUAUCGCUAGUA
rnacentral:rRNA from 1 species